rnacentral:lncRNA from 1 species
GUGAGUGUUAGAAUGACUGAAUCUGGGGUGACCUGUCUUUAAACAUGCUGAGAUGGGGUAACAGUUUGCAGUGAUUCCUCCAAGGACUCUCCAAGGCUGCAGGUAUAUACAUUUAUAUUUAUUUCUUUAUCUCGAAUUCCUCACAUUGCCAAGACCAAAGAGGUUCACAGUCUUCUUGCACUCAGUAUGAACUCAAUAUCUGUUUGCUGUUAAAUGCACACACAUGAAUUUGUCCUGUGUUUUAG